GACAGAUCUGUGUUAGCCCAGAAACAUGAAAAUGAUUAGUUUUCUGCUCUGUGGAUUUCUGCUUUAUGUACAAGACUCCUAUGGACAGAUUGUGAUGACUCAGUUGCCAGAUUCUGUUACUGUGUCACCAGGAGAAACUGUCAUCAUCACAUGUAAAUCUGGUAGUAGCAUAAGUAAUUAUGUAGCCUGGUACCAACAGAAAGCAGGACAAGCUCCAAAGCCUCUUAUCUAUGCUGCAAGCUACAAACACACAGGGACCCCAGACAGGUUCAGCGGCACUGGGUCUGGUACUGAUUUCACUUUCACAAUCAGCGGAGUGCAAGCAGAAGAUGCAGCAGAUUAUUACUGUCAGCAGUAUCAGAGCAACCCUCUCACAGUGAUAUAG